UGGGUGGUCUUUGUGUCUGUUACAUGAGGGAAGGUUCAGGUUGGAUAUUGGGAACAAUUUAUUCUCCCAAAGAGAGGUGCUGCAGUGUCACAGACUGCGCAGGGAGUGGUGGGGUCACCAUCCCUGCAGGUGUUCCAGAACCAUGGAGAUGUGGCACCGAUGGCCGUGGCUCCUUCCCCACUCUCCAACCCUGCAUGGAUGAAGCCUGGAGGAACCUCAUACCCUCUGCUUAAUUCGGAAUCAUUGAGGCUGGAGAAGACCUCCAAGAUCACCAAGUCAAGGCUCACCAGGACGUGGGAUGAAGAGCAGGACAGAACCAUGGGCACAUGCAAGGAACCACUGCAGUGACACCAACCCCCUGAGGAAAGCAGCUGGACAAUGAGUUACAAUAAAAGGAUUUUUUUUUCCCUUUAGAAAUAAUAACAUAAAAUGAA